UUGCGGGUUCGAGCCCCGUCCCGGGCCAGUUCUUUUAUUCCAGAAGGUUCUAAAUUUAAUUUAAUUAAUUAUUUAUUUAUUUAAUUAUUAAUUUAGUUACGAGAUGGCGCCUAACGCUUACCUCUUAAGACAAAUUGCUUUGGUUCUAAUCAUUUUAAGUAGCCAUAUUAUAGCCCGUUAUUCAGGCGAUCGUUUGGAAGUUUAGCAUGUGUAUAGAGUUACAGACGAUUGGCGAAGCAUGACGCCAUGCCAUGACGUCAUGUUGCAGACCUGCGAUAGAGCGACGACCAGAGUACUGAUUGGUUGGCCAGCGCACAGUCGACAACUAUAUAAAAUCGACGUGGAAGGGGGAAGUUCAAAUUUAUCCAACCGAGAUGUCGAAGCCACUUUGUAAGGAAAUACUUUAGCUGAUUGUGAAACACCCAGCAGAGGUGAAACGUUCAGGAGAUUGCCGAAUGCCUCAAGAUAUCAACGAGAAGGGUAUGGCGCGACCUCAAGCUACAUCGCGACACAGAGUCUGUGUCGCCAUGGAAAGAUCACAAAAUUGAGCUGGAUCUGUAGAUAAGGUCAAGAGAAGGUUACGACAAUUCAAUUUACAUGGAAGGCAGGCAGCUCAGAAGCUGGCCCUCAUCAUUACUAACCAAUUUGACUAGCUGGGGUUUGCCCAAACUUACUAUCGUUGGGACGUGGCGACCGGGUCAGUGUUGUAUUCACUGACGAGCAGGUCUUUUGUUCAACAAGUAGCAGAACCGUGUGGGUGCAUUGCUUACCCUCCAUCAGGUUUAACCCAGAAUACGUGUGGCGCACCCAAAGAAGCGGUCGCUUCUCGUUAGGUGUAUGGGGAUAGAUGAUAGCUGCAGAACCCGGGGAGUUAGUCCGGAUAUACGGUCACCUCACCGCCGUACAAUACAUAGAGAUCCUCGAGCCGACAUUGAGGGCCGUCUAUGACAAAGAACAGUCCUACUUCGUUCACAACCACUCCCCGGUACAUACAGCCAGAGUGUGUACGCAGUGGAUGGAAGAACAGCCACAGAUCAUAGACACGGGAUGGCCAGGGAGAGGGACAGACCUCAACCCCAUUGAAAACGUAUGCGCUCAGCUCUGCUACGACCGCAUUCGGGCAGCAACUCCCAAUGAACUGUGGGAAAUCGUCAGAGUUCGUUGGGAAAAGCUUUGUGAGGGCAUACUUUGUCAAAAUCUUGUGUCAAGUAUGCCCGAGCGACUGAAUGACGUCGUGGACACAGGGUUGGAAUGCAGACGAGGAUCUGACCCUCUCCCCUCCAUCCGCGAUUUUUAUUUUUGUUUAAAAUGUGUUAAGAAAACAGAAGUUUUUAUCUUAAUUCCGUCAUUAGAAGGCUUCUUUCAAAAUCAUGCUUAGAAAAAUGUAUAGAUUUUGAUUAUUGAAAUAAAUAUUCAUUAGAAAUUUAAAAAAGUGUAUAUAUUUAUUUUGUUUUAAUAUGUCGAAAAUGGC